rnacentral:lncRNA from 1 species
AAGGAGAAGUAAAGCUUCAAUGUGAAUGAGAUUUGCUCUAAAUAUAAAUGCUGAGAGGAAAGGUCAUUGAAAACAGGAAGGAUGAAAAGAAGUCAGAAAGCAGAUCAGCAACGCCAAAGACAUACUUCCUGAGAGUUCACUUUGCCCACCAUUGAAUCCCUAGUACCUGUAAUAACGACUGGCUUGGAGUUGGCAGCCAACAAAAAUUUGUCGAACGGAUGAAUGAAAUGAAGGAAUGUGAGAUGUACACAGGAACCACAAUCAUAUAAGGCAAAACUUGCCAUGUUUGGAGUGAGCAGAGCUGGAAGGCCGUACAAAU